AAAUUGAAGAGUUUGAUCAUGGCUCAGAUUGAACGCUGGCGGCAGGCCUAACACAUGCAAGUCGAGCGGUAGCACAGAGAGCUUGCUCUCGGGUGACGAGCGGCGGACGGGUGAGUAAUGUCUGGGAAACUGCCUGAUGGAGGGGGAUAACUACUGGAAACGGUAGCUAAUACCGCAUAACGUCGCAAGACCAAAGUGGGGGACCUUCGGGCCUCAUGCCAUCAGAUGUGCCCAGAUGGGAUUAGCUGGUAGGUGGGGUAACGGCUCACCUAGGCGACGAUCCCUAGCUGGUCUGAGAGGAUGACCAGCCACACUGGAACUGAGACACGGUCCAGACUCCUACGGGAGGCAGCAGUGGGGAAUAUUGCACAAUGGGCGCAAGCCUGAUGCAGCCAUGCCGCGUGUGUGAAGAAGGCCUUCGGGUUGUAAAGCACUUUCAGCGGGGAGGAAGGCGGUGAGGUUAAUAACCUCAUCGAUUGACGUUACCCGCAGAAGAAGCACCGGCUAACUCCGUGCCAGCAGCCGCGGUAAUACGGAGGGUGCAAGCGUUAAUCGGAAUUACUGGGCGUAAAGCGCACGCAGGCGGUCUGUCAAGUCGGAUGUGAAAUCCCCGGGCUCAACCUGGGAACUGCAUUCGAAACUGGCAGGCUAGAGUCUUGUAGAGGGGGGUAGAAUUCCAGGUGUAGCGGUGAAAUGCGUAGAGAUCUGGAGGAAUACCGGUGGCGAAGGCGGCCCCCUGGACAAAGACUGACGCUCAGGUGCGAAAGCGUGGGGAGCAAACAGGAUUAGAUACCCUGGUAGUCCACGCUGUAAACGAUGUCGAUUUGGAGGUUGUGCCCUUGAGGCGUGGCUUCCGGAGCUAACGCGUUAAAUCGACCGCCUGGGGAGUACGGCCGCAAGGUUAAAACUCAAAUGAAUUGACGGGGGCCCGCACAAGCGGUGGAGCAUGUGGUUUAAUUCGAUGCAACGCGAAGAACCUUACCUGGUCUUGACAUCCACAGAACUUAGCAGAGAUGCUUUGGUGCCUUCGGGAACUGUGAGACAGGUGCUGCAUGGCUGUCGUCAGCUCGUGUUGUGAAAUGUUGGGUUAAGUCCCGCAACGAGCGCAACCCUUAUCCUUUGUUGCCAGCGGU
rnacentral:rRNA from 1 species